rnacentral:lncRNA from 1 species
CCUGGACUUACCCAGUGUGAUCAGCAAUCAGUGAGAAAAGGUUAUAUUUGGGUCUUACAGUGGUUGGUCCUUCCUGGAACUAGAGUGUCCCUGGUGAACGUGAUGCUGUGUGUGUUAACUCACUGUUUGAGCUUCUGAUGGGCGUAGGAUCCUGUUGCUCUGGCAACUGCAAGUGGGUAUGGAGGAAAAGGGGCACUUCCUGCCUGGAGAUUCUUCCAAAAAGACCUUGGAAGAGGUCGAGUGUCAUCAUAUGGCACUUUUAAAGGUUCAAGUCAGUGUUUGGCAGUUUCCAGUAGCUUACGAUUUGAUCUAAACCAGGACUGGCUGUGGGUUUAGUUGAGUUUAUCCCCUAGUUUUAGGGUAACA